UAUAAAACAGAAGCGUAUAUAUAAGACACUGAAGAGACCAAGACACAGAACAAGCUCCCCUGGAGAAACACCGCCUGUGACCUUCAGCAUCAUUUCACUUGAAUCACUUCAACAUCCAAGAGAUGAUCAGGUGUAGGUUGGGAAAAGAAAGCAGAGCAGAAAUGAAACCAAGCAUGAUGAUCAGCAAGACUUUUUUAAUCAUCAUGAUACUCACUUUAUCCAACAGCCAGCCUACUGAGGGAAGCCUAAAACUCAAGUGUCCCAGACAUGCUAACACAACAGUUUCAACACCUGUGGCUCCUACAACACUGGCACCAACAA